rnacentral:rRNA from 1 species
GAUGAACGCUAGCGGCAGGCCUAAUACAUGCAAGUCGGACGGGAUUGGAGAGCUUGCUUUCCAUGAGAGUGGCGCACGGGUGCGUAACACGUAUGCAACCUACCUUUACCAGGGGGAUAGCCUCUCGAAAGAGGGAUUAACACCGCAUAAAAUUAGUUUAUGGCAUCAUAAAUUGAUCAAAUAUUUAUAGGGUAAAGAUGGGCAUGCGGAACAUUAGCUAGUUGGUAAGGUAACGGCUUACCAAGGCGACGAUGUUUAGGGGAUCUGAGAGGAUGACCCCCCACACUGGUAAUGAGACACGGACCAGACUCCUACGGGAGGCAGCAGUAAGGAAUAUUGGUCAAUGGGCGCAAGCCUGAUCCAGCCAUGCCGCGUGCAGGAAGACGGCCCUACGGGUUGUAAACUGCUUUUGUACGGGAAUAAACCCUGAUACGUGUAUCAGGCUGAAUGUACCGUAAGAAUAAGGAUCGGCUAACUCCGUGCCAGCCGCCGCAGUAA